AUGGAGGGAGGAGUGGUCAGAGGAGAUGAAGGAGGGGAUCUAGUUUUAGGGUUUGUCCCUUCCCGUCGUCUCCGGCCACCGCGAUGCUCCCCGGUCUUGUUUUGCUUUUGUACUGUAAUUAGAGUACAAGCUCGGAAUCAGAUGUUUCGAUUCGGUUCCGUCUCUUGUUGCCACAUUGGAUUGGAGAUCUGCAGUUACAUUUGCCAGAUCUGCCGUCGUACAUCUGAAUUGCAGUUAGUUCUGGAUCUGAAUAUCUGUUACAGUAGCUCUGAACCCGAAUAUCAAUUAAUUCUGGAUCUGAAAAUCAGUUGGUUCUGA
rnacentral:rRNA from 1 species